rnacentral:rRNA from 1 species
UACGGGGGGGGGCAAGCAUUGUUCGGAAUUACUGGGCGUAAAGGGCUCGUAGGCGGCCAACUAAGUCAGACGUGAAAUCCCUCGGCUUAACCGGGGAACUGCGUCUGAUACUGGAUGGCUAGAGGUUGGGAGAGGGAUGCGGAAUUCCAGGUGUAGCGGUGAAAUGCGUAGAUAUCUGGAGGAACACCGGUGGCGAAGGCGGCAUCCUGGACCAAUUCUGACGCUGAGGAGCGAAAGCCAGGGGAGCAAACGGG